UACUAGAGAAAAUACAGGUUUAUUUUAAGACAGAGUGGAUUUCUGUGGUAGUACAUGUCAGUUUCCGACACAUCACAGUACUAUGCUGUAGCCCUGGAGGGGAGAUGAUGUCUAGGUAGCUGUUGUAAAAAUAGGCCCCAGUAGAACACUCCCCUCCAUAUGUAUUUGGACAGUUAAACAUUUUUAUUUGGCUCUAUACUCCAGAAUUUUGGAUUUGAGAUUAAAUGUUUCGUAUGAGGUGAAAGUACAACAUGUCACCUUUUAUUUGAGGGUAUUCUCAUAUAUAUUCCUAUCUGUUCUACCGUUUAGAAAUGAAAACACUAUAUGUAUCUAGUCUCCCCCAUGAGAGUAAGUCAGUAGUAUUUGGAAAAAUUCACUUAUAGCGUAUUCAAAUAGUCAAAGGUUUAGUAUUUGGUCCCAUAUUCCUUGAUUUGGUCCCAUACAGUAUUCCUUGAUUAGAUGUUUCUAAAGGAAUCCUGAUAAUGCCAUGAUAAAGACAAAUCAUGAAUGAAUCAUAAAUAAUGCCAUUCGACUAAAUAAGCAUGGGUGGGGUAUGAUCUUUGUGCCCCAUAUCAUUAUUCACGAUUAGCAAUAAUCAUGGUAGCAUCCACAUGAAACAUAUUGGCACAAGACAUUAUUCACCAUUCAGUUCCAAAACAUAAUCAGAAACACAACCAAUACUAACCACAAAAGCACCCAUUUAUGAAUUUUUAAAAACUUUUUACCCCUUUUUCUCACCAAUUUCAUGAUAUCCAAUUGUUAGUUACAGUCUUGUCCCAUCACUGCAACUCACGUACGGAGUCAUGCAUCCUCCAAAACACAACCCUGCCAAGCUGCACUGCUUCUUGACACUGCUCGCUUAACCUGAAAGCCAGCCGUACCAAUGUAUCGGAGGAAAUACCGUACAACUGGCGACCGUGUCAGCAUGCAUGCGCCCGGCCCACCACAGAAGUCGCUAGAGCACAAUGGGACAAGGACAUCCCGGCCGGCCAAACCCUGCCCUAACCCGGACGACACUGGGCCAAUUGUGCGCCGCCUCAUGGAUCUCCCGGUCGCAGCCGGCUGCCACACAGCCCGGGUUCAAACCCGGGUCUGUAGUGACGCCUCAAGCACUGUGAUGCAGUGCCUUUGAGUGCAGUGCCACUCGGGAGGCCAGCACCCAACACAUUUGAAAAGUCACAAGCUUGAUGUAGUCAUUGUGUGCAAGGAAAAUGGUACCAAAUGCUAAAUUUUUGACUUAAGUCCAAAUACUUAUGAUUUCUUCAAAUGGGGGGACGAGAU
ensembl:lncRNA